UGAUUCGUCACACUAUCGUUAACUGAAUACAUAGGUUAACGAGGCGAACCGGGGGAACUGAAACAUCUAAGUACCCCGAGGAAAAGAAAUCAACCGAGAUUCCCCCAGUAGCGGCGAGCGAACGGGGAGCAGCCCAGAGUCUGAAUCAGCUUGUGUGUUAGUGGAACGGUCUGGAAAGUCCGACGGUACAGGGUGAUAGUCCCGUACACCAAAAUGCACAGGCUGUGAACUCGAAGAGUAGGGCGGGACACGUGGUAUCCUGUCUGAAUAUGGGGGGACCAUCCUCCAAGGCUAAAUACUCCUGACUGACCGAUAGUGAACCAGUACCGUGAGGGAAAGGCGAAAAGAACCCCGGCGAGGGGAGUGAAAAAGAACCUGAAACCGUGUACGUACAAGCAGUGGGAGCACCUUCGGGUGUGACUGCGUACCUUUUGUAUAAUGGGUCAGCGACUUAUAUUCUGUAGCAAGGUUAACCGUAUAGGGGAGCCGCAGGGAAACCGAGUCUUAACUGGGCGUUAAGUUGCAGGGUAUAGACCCGAAACCCGGUGAUCUAGCCAUGGGCAGGUUGAAGGUUGGGUAACACUAACUGGAGGACCGAACCGACUAAUGUUGAAAAAUUAGCGGAUGACUUGUGGCUGGGGGUGAAAGGCCAAUCAAACCGGGAGAUAGCUGGUUCUCCCCGAAAGCUAUUUAGGUAGCGCCUCGUGAACUCAUCUUCGGGGGUAGAGCACUGUUUCGGCUAGGGGGUCAUCCCGACUUACCAACCCGAUGCAAACUACGAAUACCGAAGAAUGUUAUCACGGGAGACACACGGCGGGUGCUAACGUCCGUCGUGAAGAGGGAAACAACCCAGACCGCCAGCUAAGGUCCCAAAGUCAUGGUUAAGUGGGAAACGAUGUGGGAAGGCACAGACAGCCAGGAUGUUGGCUUAGAAGCAGCCAUCAUUUAAAGAAAGCGUAAUAGCUCACUGGUCGAGUCGGCCUGCGCGGAAGAUGUAACGGGGCUAAACCAUGCACCGAAGCUGCGGCAGCGACACUAUGUGUUGUUGGGUAGGGGAGCGUUCUGUAAGCCUGCGAAGGUGUGCUGUGAGGCAUGCUGGAGGUAUCAGAAGUGCGAAUGCUGACAUAAGUAACGAUAAAGCGGGUGAAAAGCCCGCUCGCCGGAAGACCAAGGGUUCCUGUCCAACGUUAAUCGGGGCAGGGUGAGUCGACCCCUAAGGCGAGGCCGAAAGGCGUAGUCGAUGGGAAACAGGUUAAUAUUCCUGUACUUGGUGUUACUGCGAAGGGGGGACGGAGAAGGCUAUGUUAGCCGGGCGACGGUUGUCCCGGUUUAAGCAUGUAGGCUGAUUGUCCAGGCAAAUCCGGAUAAUCAAGGCUGAGGUGUGAUGACGAGGCACUACGGUGCUGAAGUAACAAAUGCCCUGCUUCCAGGAAAAGCCUCUAAGCAUCAGGUAACAUUAAAUCGUACCCCAAACCGACACAGGUGGUCAGGUAGAGAAUACCAAGGCGCUUGAGAGAACUCGGGUGAAGGAACUAGGCAAAAUGGUGCCGUAACUUCGGGAGAAGGCACGCUGGUGUGUAGGUGAAGUCCCUGCGGAUGGAGCUGAGACCAGUCGAAGAUACCAGCUGGCUGCAACUGUUUAUUAAAAACACAGCACUGUGCAAACACGAAAGUGGACGUAUACGGUGUGACGCCUGCCCGGUGCCGGAAGGUUAAUUGAUGGGGUUAUCCGUAAGGAGAAGCUCUUGAUCGAAGCCCCGGUAAACGGCGGCCGUAACUAUAACGGUCCUAAGGUAGCGAAAUUCCUUGUCGGGUAAGUUCCGACCUGCACGAAUGGCGUAAUGAUGGCCAGGCUGUCUCCACCCGAGACUCAGUGAAAUUGAACUCGCUGUGAAGAUGCAGUGUACCCGCGGCAAGACGGAAAGACCCCGUGAACCUUUACUAUAGCUUGACACUGAACAUUGAGCCUUGAUGUGUAGGAUAGGUGGGAGGCUUUGAAGCGUGGACGCCAGUCUGCGUGGAGCCAACCUUGAAAUACCACCCUUUAAUGUUUGAUGUUCUAACGUUGGCCCCU
rnacentral:rRNA from 1 species